rnacentral:tmRNA from 1 species
GUCCGUUUCGGCGGGCUAUGGUGAUAAACUGCGGUGUGUAAUAGACGCAACGGACCCGGGGGCAGUACCCGGCGGCUCCACCAAAAAGCGCAUAUUUACAGGCGCUUCCUGAUGGGGCCGAACCAGGAUCGACGUGUGUUGAAAGGCAUUGUUUUCACCCGGGCUGAGUAUCCCGCAAAACUGUUCAAAACACACAAGUGCCAACGAUAACGAAGCACUCGCUCUCGCAGCGUAACAUGACGGCCUAACGGCCUAACGUUACAAAGCUAAAGCGCGGUUGGACCCACCGGGCAACAGAAGCGGAUUCCGGGGGCCCGGGGGGGCCUAGCAACAGAACCCCCCACC